rnacentral:misc_RNA from 1 species
GCAUGCGACCUCUGUUUGA